AAGGUAAGGGGGCGGGCUUUCACGGUCCUGCUAAGGCCUUUGUCUGUGACGUACCAGCAUACCACCAUCUUGGAAUCUGGAACCGGGGACUCUGUCGGUACCGGGACGGGUCUGCGCGGCGCAGCGAGGACGCGGGGUGUCUGGACUCCGCCAUGCCCUGGCAGCCUUCAUCUGGAUGGAGAUAACACGGAAAGAUGCCCAGGUUGAUGGAUGGCCAUGAUGUAGACUUGCGUUUUCCUGGGAAAUCCUCAGGACAUAGUACUUCCAGAAAGUCCGAGGGAGGGAAGAACUCCGUUCCCUGGAAGCUGGAAAUGGAUCUUGGGUAGCCCAGGUUGGCCUGAAACACGUGAUAGAGCUUCCUGAAUGUCAGCACUAGACCCACCACUCUGGCCUGGAGACAAGAAAGACUUCACUCUUUGACCAGACUGGGCCUGAUCCCAGUCCUGCUUGGAGCAGACCAUACUUCUAGUGUCUGCUUCCUUAAUGUUCACCACUGUAUAUCAAAAGGUCAGUUAUUCCUUAUAAUUUCCCAUUUCCUCAUCUGCCUGAGUUAUUUAAAAGUGAAGCCAUUGUGCUUUGGGUUUUCUCUUCCCCUUCUCAGCCAUGGAUUCUUUGGUUUUUACUCUUUUUUUCUUCUUUGUUUAAGUUGCUUUGCGUGUUGUUUUUCCUGAAUGGUCUAGAAGUUGCUACGUAUGCCAGAGUGACCUUGAGAUCUACCUGCCUUUUCCUUCCAUUUGGUGGAAAUAAACUUCCUCUGUCACCGAGCCUGGCUUUGUUUCCCUUUUUUUUUCUUUUUUAACUGAGCUCUUUACAUGCAAAGUUUCUGACAGGGUCUUGCCACUUUCCCUGUGUCCCACGUGUCCUAAUGGAGUUCUGUCUCUAAUUUGGUUAUAUUUUCUCUUUUAUUAUCUAUUAUCUUAAAUAUCCUCCAAAUAUUUAUUUUGGGUUAUUUAUCAUGCAUUUAAUGCCACUCGAGGGUGAAAUUCCAGCCAAUGAACAAUGUGCGUGUAAAUACUAUCUUAAGAAAGUUUCUGGGGUAGAGGCCCUGGGUUUGGUCCCCAGUUCCGGAAAAAAAAAAAAAAAAAAAAAAAGAAAGUUUCUGAUCCAUUUGUGAUAGGGUGGUCUUUGGAGUGGACCCCGUCACCAUUCAUCAGAGGGCCUCACUUAGCACAUGAGCAAAACUGAUCUGUUAUUUCCCAUUUGCAGGACACUGCAAGACUAAACCAGAGUUCAUCUUUGAACGGGGGCUUCGAUUCAGGCCAUGGACCACAGCCGAAGCCUCAAUUCGAUGCGUGCCCAGUCGGUGAGUGGGUAUGGGGCAAGGGCUAUCCACACAAAGAGAGCUCAUCAUAUAGUGGUUGUGUUGAGCUCUUUUUAUACCCAAACUCUUUCCUGCAGAUAGCUAGUCCUGUGGUGAAAACAUGUGUUUUAUGCAGUUUCUGAAAGGGUUCCAUGUUAACAUAUCCCUAAGUUUCUGCUGUUGAAGUAUAUUUUCUUAGAUUUAUCAAAAUCUCAAUACUAUGUGCUACUUAGAUCCAGUGGUUCUCAACCUAUGGUCAUGACCCCUUUGGGGGUCAAAUGACCCUUUCGCAGGGGUCACCUGACUGACACCACUGAAAACAUAGAUAUUACAUUAUGAUCCAUAACAGUGCCAAAAUUACAGUUAUGAAGUAGCAAUGAAAAUAACGCUGUGGUUGGGGGCCACCACAACGUGAGGAACUGGGUUAAAGGUCAUACCAUUAGGAAGGUUGAGAACCAACUGGUAGAGUUGGUUUUCUUGGUUAGUCAGUGAUCUCUAAAUUCUCAGUCUUCCUUCUUUUUUAAAUUCGGCAUUUGCUGACACGUUCUUCAACACUUGCUCUUGAUCCCUAAUGAGUCUGUGUAACUGUGUUGAUGAUACCAACACUAAUACCCAGACAGCUCUUAAUGUCGUCUUGCGUUCAGUGUAUGUAAAGUGACUCAAAGAUACAAGGAUUAUGACAUAGAGCUCAGAGAGUGCUCAUAGGAAGAGGACAAAAGUCAGUCUGGGACUGGAGAGAUGGCUCAGUGGUUAAGAGCACUGACUGCUCUUCCAGAGGUCCUGAAUUCAAAUCCUAGCAACCACAUGGUGGCUCACAACCAUCUGUAAUGGGAUCUGAUGCCCUCUUCUGGUGUGUCUGAAGACAAUGACUGUGUACUCAUAGAAAUAAAACAAAUAAACCUUAGAAAAGAAAGGAAGGUAGGUUUAUUUAAAAAAAAAAGAAAAGAAAAAGUAGGGGUUGGGGAUUUAGCUCAGUGGUAGAGCGCUUGCCUAGAAAGCGCAAGGCCGUGGGUUCGGUCCCCAGCUCCAAAAAAAAAGAAAAAAGAAAAAAAAAAAAGAAAGAAAAGAAAAAGUAAACCAAACCCACAGUUAGGGAAUUGUUUGUUCAUUUUAUUUAAAUUUGAUGUGAUUCUGUAACAAAUUUGGCACAUUGUACUUGUCUCAGGGGUGGUGAUGCUUUUAAUAUUUUCACUGUUCAUAAAGUGAAUGCCAGGAUUGAGGCCAGCCAUGAAAAUCAAGAGAAAGAUUUGUGGCGACUGGGAAUCAGUAAAGCAGUAGGUCAAGUGAAGACAUGGUUGGCACAGGUGAAACAGUUACCGUGAGCUCUCAAACUGCCUUCAGAGCUGAGCACAGAGGAGGAAGCCCUUCAGGGAUGUGGGCCUCUCCACAGUGUGUCUGGUGAGAUGCAGGCUGAGAAGAGCCAGGUUUUAUUCUUUUUAAAAGCACAGUGGGGGGGCUGGGGAUUUAGCUCAGUGGUAGAGCGCUUACCUAGGAAGCGCAAGGCCCUGGGUUCCGUCCCCAGCUCCGAAAAAAAGAACCAAAAAAAAAAAAAAAAAAAAAAAAGAGUUCAUAUGCCAGAGGCCUCCAGUAGAGUCGAUCAGGGCUGGAAGUCCUUUUAUUAAGAAGCACUUAAUGCCCAAAACAUGAAAAAUGUAAAGAGCAAGUCACUAAAGUUAAUGUGUGGGAUAAUGUUCUAUUCUAAGAUGCAUGGUAAGUUCACACCUGAGAGAGAUAGUGUAAAUACAGUUAUUCUGAGG
ensembl:lncRNA